CCUACUCCGUGCUGGACAGCUGCUGCCCCGUCGCCGGCGUGCGCGCCGUGCCCGGCCGCCACGUGCCGCCCGACUUCGACCUCGAAAGUAUCCAUAUUUACCAAGAACAAAAGAAAGAAAGAAUUGCGCCGUCUGUCGCGAAUUUAACUCGAGCGAUGUCGUCUUGCAACACUACGGUGAGCGAAUACUCGUUCGGGGAACCAACGACGUCGGCCAACAGCACCGUGGACA